rnacentral:rRNA from 1 species
GACGAACGCUGGCGGCGUGCUUAACACAUGCAAGUCGAACGGAAAGGCCCCUUUGGGGGUCCUCGAGUGGCGCACGGGUGAGUAACACGUGAGUAACCUGCCCUUGACUUCGGGAUAACUUCAGGAAACUGGGGCUAAUACCGGAUAGGAAUCCUUGCUGCAUGGUGGGGGUUGGAAAGCUUCGGCGGUUUUGGAUGGACUCGCGGCUUAUCAGCUUGUUGGUGGGGUAGUGGCUUACCAAGGCUUUGACGGGUAGCCGGCCUGAGAGGGCGACCGGCCACAUUGGGACUGAGAGACGGCCCAGACUCCUACGGGAGGCAGCAGUGGGGAAUAUUGCACAAUGGGCGGAAGCCGGAUGCAGCAACGCCGCGUGCGGGAGGACGGCCUUCGGGUUGUAAACCGCUUUCAGCAGGGGCGAAGCUUGUGGUGACGGUACCUGCAGAAGAAGCACCGGCUAACUACGUG